UACGUAGGGGGCAAGCGUUGUCCGGAUUUAUUGGGCGUAAAGAGCGUGUAGGCGGCUAGGUAGGUCCGUUGUGAAAACUCGAGGCUCAACCUCGAGACGUCGAUGGAAACCAUCUAGCUAGAGUCCGGAAGAGGAGAGUGGAAUUCCUGGUGUAGCGGUGAAAUGCGCAGAUAUCAGGAAGAACACCCGUGGCGAAGGCGGCUCGCUGGUACGUGACUGACGCUGAGACGCGAAAGCGUGGGGAGCAAACAGG
rnacentral:rRNA from 1 species